UGAUCCAGCCAUGCCGCGUGAGUGAUGAAGGCCUUAGGGUUGUAAAGCUCUUUUGGCGGGGACGAUAAUGACGGUACCUGCAGAAUAAGCCCCGGCCAACUUCGUGCCAGCAGCCGCGGUAAUACGAAGGGGGCUAGCGUUGCUCGGAAUCACUGGGCGUAAAGCGCACGUAGGCGGAUCGUUAAGUCGGGGGUGAAAUCCCGGGGCUCAACCCUGGAACUGCCUUCGAUACUGGCGAUCUUGAGUUCCGGAAAAGGGGGUGGAAUUCCCAGUGGAGAGGGGAAAUUCCUAAAUUUUUGGAAGAACACCCGUGGCGAAAGGGGCUCCCUGGGCCGGUACUGAACCUGAGGUGCGAAAGCGUGGGGAGCAAACAGGAUUAAAUACCCUGGGAGUCCACGCCGUAAACGAUGGGAGCUAGCCGUUGGGUAGCUUGCCUUAUCAGUGGCGCCACUUACCCCUUUAACCUUCCCGCCUGGGGAAUACCGGCCCCAGGAUUAAACUCAAAG
rnacentral:rRNA from 2 species